UACGGGGGGAGCAAGCGUUGUUCGGAUUUACUGGGCGUAAAGGGCGCGUAGGCGGCCACCGCAAGUCGACUGUGAAAUCUCCGGGCUUAACUCGGAAAGGUCAGCCGAUACUGCGGGGCUAGAAUGCAGAAGGGGCAACUGGAAUUCUCGGUGUAGCGGUGAAAUGCGUAGAUAUCGAGAGGAACACCUGCGGCGAAGGCGGGUUGCUGGGCUGACACUGACGCUGAGGCGCGAAAGCUAGGGGAGCGAACGGG
rnacentral:rRNA from 1 species